rnacentral:tRNA from 1 species
GGGGGAGUAUUGUGGGGUUCAUAACCCUGAGGUCUCGGGUUCGAGUCCCGAUUCCGCUA